UACGAAGGGGGCUAGCGUUGUUCGGAAUUACUGGGCGUAAAGGGCGCGUAGGCUGUGCUGUAAGUCAGGCGUGAAAGGCCCGGGCUCAACCUGGGAACUGCGUUUGAUACUGCGGCGCUGGAAUGCAGGAGAGGAUGGCGGAAUUCCCAGUGUAGAGGUGAAAUUCGUAGAUAUUCGCAAGAACACCAGUGGCGAAGGCGGCUCACUGGCCCGGUACUGACGCUGAGGUGCGAAAGCGUGGGGAGCAAACAGG
rnacentral:rRNA from 1 species